UACGUUCAGUGAGUGGCCAAACGGUGCUUUUUUCAUUUACAAGUAAUUUUCGAUUAUUAAGUGAACUAUUUAAAGACAAAAAUACUUGUAUUCAGUGAAUGUGAUGUUGAAACCAUGAAAUUCGGAGUCAAGUGGGCAUGAGAAUGGAAAAAUACGAGAGCUUAGAAGUCUGCGUCCCAUCCGGAGAAGUCGUUGGUCGCCACCUCGCGCUCCAGGGGGUAUUUGUCGAAGUGUCUGCUAUCCAGAGGACCGUUCACCUGGAAUUUCGACGCCGAACAGCAUGGGAAGUGCCAUCGGGAAGUUGGCUUCGGUCUUCAGAGAUAUGUGACGAUAUCCCGCUUGCAAUCCGU